rnacentral:misc_RNA from 1 species
UCAUUACUGAGUUUACGCUCUAUAACCCUUUGUGAACAUACCUAUAACUGUUGCUUCGGCGGGUAGGGUCUCCGUGACCCUCCCGGCCUCCCGCCCCCGGGCGGGUCGGCGCCCGCCGGAGGAUAACCAAACUCUGAUUUAACGACGUUUCUUCUGAGUGGUACAAGCAAAUAAUCAAAACUUUUAACAACGGAUCUCUUGGUUCUGGCAUCGAUGAAGAACGCAGCGAAAUGCGAUAAGUAAUGUGAAUUGCAGAAUUCAGUGAAUCAUCGAAUCUUUGAACGCACAUUGCGCCCGCCAGCAUUCUGGCGGGCAUGCCUGUUCGAGCGUCAUUUCAACCCUCAAGCUCUGCUUGGUGUUGGGGCCCUACAGCUGAUGUAGGCCCUCAAAGGUAGUGGCGGACCCUCCCGGAGCCUCCUUUGCGUAGUAACUUUACGUCUCGCACUGGGAUCCGGAGGGACUCUUGCCGUAAAACCCCCAAUUUUCCAAAGGUUGACCUC